GACGAGGGGUCCUAGCGUUGUUCGGAAUCAUUGGGCGUAAAGCGGGUGUAGGUGGCUUUGUAAGUCAGAUGUGAAAGCCCUGGGCUCAACCCAGGAAGUGCAUUUGAAACUGCAUUGCUUGAGUGUGGCAGAGGAUGGCGGAAUUCCUGGUGUAGUGGUGAAAUACGUAGAUAUCAGGAGGAACAUCGGUGGGGAAGCCGGCUAUCUGGGCCAACACUGACACUCAGACCCGAAAGCGUGGGGAUCAAACAGG
rnacentral:misc_RNA from 1 species